GUGUGGGCAUACGUCGCACUCACCAGGCUCGUAUCAUAAUACGUCGAGCGCAGACUGUGCGUACACGACGACCGAUAUGCCCCUUUCCCCAAGGACGCUUCUCGGCCAAGGAAAGUGGCUCACGGCUUGACAGCGCGCUGUUCGCCGCCCCGAUGUGCAUGGCGGACGGGUGGGUGUGCGUGAGGAUGAAAUAAUGCGACCCGUUUCUGCAAGGCGGCCGAGCGAAUGGACAAUACCGGUGGCGGCACGGUCACGGUUCUCCCCUGCUCCACCUCCCUUUCAAGUGAGCGCGUGCGUGCGCAUUUAUGCUCGAGAGCGCCCUGUCUGGACGCUCCUGGACGCCUUCCAGCGUGACGAAUUCCGGCGUAGCGGCCGUCGUCAGAGUCGGACAACGUCGACGCCCGACGACGUGCAUCGUGUGUUAAGAGAGGGAGAGAAUGCGGGCGAUGACGGCGUCUUCACGGAAGCGAGCGCCACACACCACGACGCCCAAAGGGGGGUGGGAGGGUGAGACGCCCCCGCGACUUCCACGAAGGCGGGGGCGCAGGCGUUACACAAUGCUCUUCUUCCACGACCCGGCGGAGAGGGCUGGCCGGCGAACUGAAAGGCAAGGUGAAGACGGUGCCGUCCGCAGAACUCGCCGCACUCGAGGAAGCCACGUCGGGCAGAAGGGUGGAAGUCGCGCGAUGGACUCUGCCGCUUGUGUAAAGGAGAUAACGGACAGCGGCACGGCGCCUUCUUUUCACACCGACUGUCGUUGAUGGGCAUAGAGGGUUUCCCCACAAUAAAUAACUAUGGGGAACUGUGCGCUCUAAGUAAAAC